CCUACGGGAGGCAGCAGUGAGGAAUAUUGGUCAAUGGGCGUAAGCCUGAACCAGCCAAGUCGCGUGAGGGAUGAAGGUUCUAUGGAUCGUAAACCUCUGUUAUAAGGGCAUAAAGUGUGGGACGUGUCCUAUUUUGUAUGUACCUUAUGAAUAAGGAUCGGCUAACCCCGUGCCAGCAGCCGCGGUAAUACGGAGGAUCCGAGCGUUAUCCGGAUUUAUUGGGUUUAAAGGGUGCGUAGGCGGCCUUUGAAGUAAGCGGUGAAAGUCUGUGGCUCAACCAUAGAAUUGCCGUUGAAACUGGGGGGCUUGAGUAUGUUUGAGGCAGGCGGAAUGCGUGGUGUAGCGGUGAAAUGCUUAGAUAUCACGCAGAACCCCGAUUGCGAAGGCAGCCUGCCAAGCCAUGACUGACGCUGAUGCACGAAAGCGUGGGGAUCAAACAGGAUUAGAUACCCGAGUAAGUC
rnacentral:rRNA from 1 species